AUUGAACGCUGGCGGCAGGCCUAACACAUGCAAGUAGGACGCAGUUGCGAACGGGUGAGUAACGCGUAGGUAACUGCCUAUUAGAGGGGGAUAACUAUUGGAAACGAUAGCUAAUACCGCAUACUAGUAGAUGGACCUGCGUUGUAUUAGCUAGUAGGUAGGGUAAUGGCCUACCUAGGCAACGAUGCAUAGCCGAACUGAGAGGGGGAUCGGCCACACUGGGACUGAGACACGGCCCAGACUCCUACUGGAGGCAGCAGUAGGGAAUCUUCGGCAAUGGGGGGAACCCUGACCGAGCAACGCCGCGUUAGUGAAGAAGGUUUUCGGAUCGUAAAGCUCUGUUGUUAAGGAAGCGGUACUUAACCAGAAAGGGACGGCUAACUACGUGCCAGCAGCCGCGGUAAUAC
rnacentral:rRNA from 1 species